rnacentral:rRNA from 1 species
GACGAACGCUGGCGGCGUGCUUAACACAUGCAAGUCGAACGGAAAGGCCCUGCUUUUGUGGGGUGCUCGAGUGGCGAACGGGUGAGUAACACGUGAGUAACCUGCCCUUGACUUUGGGAUAACUUCAGGAAACUGGGGCUAAUACCGGAUAGGAGCUCCUGCUGCAUGGUGGGGGUUGGAAAGUUUCGGCGGUUGGGGAUGGACUCGCGGCUUAUCAGCUUGUUGGUGGGGUAGUGGCUUACCAAGGCUUUGACGGGUAGCCGGCCUGAGAGGGUGACCGGCCACAUUGGGACUGAGAUACGGCCCAGACUCCUACGGGAGGCAGCAGUGGGGAAUAGUGCACAAUGGGCGGAAGCCUGAUGCAGCACCGCCGCGUGCGGGAUGACGGCCUUCGGGUUGUAAACCGCUUUCGCCUGUGACGAAGCGUGAGUGACGGUAAUGGGUAAAGAAGCACCGGCUAACUACGUG